rnacentral:lncRNA from 1 species
GAUUGAACCUGGUUUUAUAGCUAGCUAAACCUCUAAGUAACUGAAAGAUAUAGAGUGACACACUAUUUCUCCACGUGAGUCAAAAUUGAUCUUAUGACAGUGUUUUAUUUUGCAAAUAAACGAUUUUCAUUGAUUUGAAUUUAGGAAAAAAGGUAACAUGUAUUUGUUGGCAUUUUGUUCGAGCUUAUUGUUAAUUUGUUGCUAUUUUUUUUUAUUAGAAAUGUACUUGGGUUAAUUAAAAAAAU